UCGGCAACUUCAAGAGAAGCUCCCGGAAGGGACUUUGGGGAGGAAUCGUUUCCUAAAGGACGAUGCAGCCCAUGCUGUUGGUGUUCCGUCCGUAUUCCUCCCGCCUCCCUUCUGCAGCUGCCAGUACCUUCAGGCCUGGAUCUGAGGCCUUCGAUUCUGUCCCCUGGCCAGGCAGGUUGGAAACGCAGGCCGGUUAGCCCUGCGAGCAGCUGUCAGCCAAUACGCGCCACGAGUGUUGUAGCUUUAGGUCAGGCGUCUAAGAAGCAGAUCUCGAGACCCGGAUUCUCUGCCCUGGUUUGCGACGGGAGAGCCCUCAGGAGAAACCUGUAAGGAACGGAGGAAGUAGGACAGGGCAGGAGGAAGCCCAGCCAAGGGGGAUCUCAGCUCAUUCCCAGAAAGAGCUCUGGAGCUUGACUAGAAACACAAAAUUAUCCCCUCCACCUUGAGGCAAGGGGGCCACGGCUUUGUACUCUGAUACUGGUCAACCAGAGGCGGCAGGCUGCCCUCAAGGGGAGGAGGUUGAAAGCCUCUAGGCGGAAUAGUUUGGGUAUUCACAACUCGGAUAUUCACAGCUAUUCACAACAGAUGGGAUCUGGGGGAGGCCGGGCCGCAUCUUCUACUUGUGGAUUUCAGCCUGUAGGAAAAGGAGCCUCAAAGCUGCUAAAACUCGACACGGACAACAACUAUGUACUGAAUGUGGCAAAAAAAAAAAAAAAAAAAAA